AGGACGAACGCUGGCGGCGUGCUUAACACAUGCAAGUCGAGCGGUAAGGCCCCUUCGGGGGUACACGAGCGGCGAACGGGUGAGUAACACGUGAGCAAUCUGCCCAUCACAUCGGGAUAACUUCGGGAAACCGAAGCUAAUACCGGAUACGACCACUUCAGGCAUCUGACGGUGGUGGAAAGUUCCGGCGGUGAUGGAUGAGCUCGCGGCCUAUCAGCUUGUUGGUGGGGUAAUGGCCCACCAAGGCUUCGACGGGUAGCCGGCCUGAGAGGGUGACCGGCCACACUGGGACUGAGACACGGCCCAGACUCCUACGGGAGGCAGCAGUGGGGAAUAUUGGACAAUGGGCGAAAGCCUGAUCCAGCAACGCCGCGUGAGGGAUGACGGCCUUCGGGUUGUAAACCUCUUUCAGCAGGGACGAGGCGCAAGUGACGGUACCUGCAGAAGAAGCACCGGCCAACUACGUGCCAGCAGCCGC
rnacentral:rRNA from 1 species